rnacentral:pre_miRNA from 1 species
GCUUUUAAGGCUUCAUCCAAAUCCCACUGAAAUCAAUGGGAGUAUUUCCAUUGACGUCAGUGGGUUUUGGAUCAGGCCUUAGUGAC